rnacentral:rRNA from 1 species
GAUUGACCUCGGAUCAGGUAGGGAUACCCGCUGAACUUAAGCAUAUCAAUAAGCGGAGGAAAAGAAACCAACAGGGAUUGCCUCAGUAACGGCGAGUGAAGCGGCAACAGCUCAAAUUUGAAAUCUGGCUCCUUCGGGGCCCGAGUUGUAAUUUGUAGAGGACGUUUCGGGUGCGGCCCGGUCUAAGUCCCUUGGAACAGGGCGUCAUAGAGGGUGAGAAUCCCGUAUGUGACCGGUGACCAACCCCAUGUGAAACCCCUUCGACGAGUCGAGUUGUUUGGGAAUGCAGCUCAAAAUGGGUGGUAAAUUCCAUCUAAAGCUAAAUACUGGCCAGAGACCGAUAGCGCACAAGUAGAGUGAUCGAAAGAUGAAAAGCACUUUGGAAAGAGAGUCAAACAGUACGUGAAAUUGUUGAAAGGGAAGCGCUGGCAACCAGACCUGCCCCGGGCGAUCAGCGGGUGUUCUCACCCGUGCACUCGCCCGCGAUCAGGCCAGCAUCGGUUUCGGCGGUCGGAUACAGACCCGGGGAACGUGGCUCUCUUCGGGGAGUGUUAUAGCCCCGGGUGCAAUGCGGCCAGCCGGGACCGAGGACCGCGCUUCGGCUAGAUGCUGGCGUAAU